rnacentral:rRNA from 1 species
ACGGAAGGCAGCAGUGAGGAAUAUUGGUCAAUGGGCGGAAGCCUGAACUAGCCAAGUCGCGUGAAGGAUGAAGGUAUUAUGUAUUGUAAACUUCUUUAGACGCAGAGAAAUAAGGAGGUCGUGACCUCUGAUGCUAGUAUGCGUAGAAUAAGGAUCGGCUAACUCCGUGCCAGCAGCCGCGGUAAUACGGAGGAUCCGAGCGUUAUCCGGAUUUAUUGGGUUUAAAGGGUGCGCAGGCGGCCCUGUAAGUCAGCGGUUAAAUCGUGGAGCUCAACUCCAUCCCGCUGUUGAUACUGCAGGGCUUGAUUGCGGUCGAGGUUGGCGGAAUUCGCCGUGUAGCGGUGAAAUGCAUAGAUAUGGCGAAGAACUCCGAUUGCGUAGGCAGCUGACCAGGCCGUAAAUGACGCUCAUGCACGAAAGUGCGGGGAUCGAACAGGAUUAGAUACCCUGGUA